rnacentral:rRNA from 1 species
CCUACGGGAGGCAGCAGUGGGGAAUAUUGGGCAAUGGAGGCAACUCUGACCCAGCAAUGCCGCGUGAAUGAAGAAGGUCUUCGGAUUGUAAAGUUCUUUAAUCAGGGAGCAAAGUCACCCACGUGUGGGUGUUGGAGAGUACCUGAAGAAAAAGCAUCGGCUAACUCCGUGCCAGCAGCCGCGGUAAUACGGAGGAUGCGAGCGUUAUCCGGAUUUAUUGGGUUUAAAGGGUGCGUAGGCGGGUUAUCAAGUCAGCGGUAAAAUCGUGGAGCUCAACUCCAUCCAGCCGUUGAAACUGAUGAUCUUGGGUGGGCGAGAAGUAUGCGGAAUGCGUGGUGUAGCGGUGAAAUGCAUAGAUAUCACGCAGAACUCCGAUUGCGAAGGCAGCAUACCGGCGCCCGACUGACGCUGAAGCACGAAAGCGUGGGUAUCGAACAGGAUUAGAUACCCCAGUAGUC